UGGGGAAUAUUGCACAAUGGAGGGAACUCUGAUGCAGCGACGCCGCGUGAGUGACGAAGGAAUUCGUUUCGUAAAACUCUGUUCUAUGGGAAGAAAAGGACUGUACCAUAGGAGAAAGCUCCGGCUAAAUACGUGCCAGCAGCCGCGGUAAUACGUAUGGAGCGAGCGUUGUCCGGAAUUAUUGGGCGUAAAGGGUGCGCAGGCGGCUUUACAAGUUGGAUGUGAAAUAUUGUGGCUCAACCACAAACGUGCAUCCAAAACUGCAAAGCUUGAGUUAAGGAGAGGUAAGUGGAAUUCCUGGUGUAGCGGUGGAAUGCGUAGAUAUCAGGAGGAAUACCGGUGGCGAAGGCGACUUACUGGACUUAAACUGACGCUCAGGCACGAAAGCGUGGGGAGCAAACAGG
rnacentral:rRNA from 1 species